rnacentral:rRNA from 1 species
AGUACCGUGAGGGAAAGGUGAAAAGAACCCCGGGAGGGGAGUGAAAUAGAACCUGAAACCGUGUGCCUACAACCGGUCAAAGCCCCUUAUGAGGGUGAUGACGUGCUUUUUGUAGAACGAGCCAACGAGUUACGGUAUGUAGCAAGGUUAAGUACUUAAGGUACGGAGCCGAAGGGAAACCGAGUCUUAAUAGGGCGACUAGUUGCAUGCCGUAGACCCGAAACCGGGUGACCUAUCCAUGGCCAGGUUGAAGCGGGGGUAAAACCCCGUGGAGGACCGAACCACGUUGCUGUUGAAAAAGCAUGGGAUGAGCUGUGGAUAGCGGAGAAAUUCCAAUCGAACUCGGAGAUAGCUGGUUCUCCUCGAAAUAGCUUUAGGGCUAGCGUCGGAUAUGAGUAGUGGAGGUAGAGCACUGAAUGGGCUAGGGGGCAUAGCGCUUACCGAACCUUAUCAAACUCCGAAUGCCACAUACUAUUAGUCCGGCAGUCAGACUGCGAAAGAUAAGUUCCGUAGUCAAAAGGGAAACAGCCCAGAUCGUCAGCUAAGGUCCCAAAGUGUAAGUUAAGUGGAAAAGGAUGUGGGAUUUCUAAGACAACUAGGAUGUUGGCUUAGAAGCAGCCACUCAUUAAAAGAGUGCGUAAUAGCUCACUAGUCGAGAGAUCCUGCGCCGAAGAUGUCCGGGGCUCAAACUUACCACCGAAGCUACGGGUUCACACUUAUGUGUGAGCGGUAGAGGAGCGUCGUAAUCGGGCUGAAGUCGUACCGUAAGGAGCGGUGGACUGAUUACGAGUGAGAAUGUUGGCAUUAGUAGCGAGAUGUGGGUGAGAAUCCCACAGGCCGAAUAUCUAAGGUUUCCUCAGGAAGGUUCGUCCGCUGAGGGUUAGUCGGGACCUAAGCCGAGGCCGAAAGGCGUAGGCGAUGGACAAUCGGUUGAUAUUCCGAUACCACUACUGAUCGUUAUUAUCGAUGGUGUGACGGAGAAGGAUAGAGUGUGCUAGCUAUUGGAUGCUAGUCUAAGCGUUUAGGGAGUUAGGAAAGGCAAAUCCGUCCUAACAAUUCUGAGGCGUGAUGGGGAAGGUUCUACGGAACCGAAGUACUUGAUUCCAUGCUUCCAAGAAAAGCAUCUAGAGAGAGAUGUAGUGCCCGUACCGCAAACCGACACAGGUAGAUGAGGAGAGAAUCCUAAGGCCGGCGGAAGAAUCACAGUUAAGGAACUAGGCAAAUUGACCCCGUAACUUAGGGAGAAGGGGUGCCUGUGAGAGCAGGCCGCAGAGAAUAGGCCCAAGCAACUGUUUAGCAAAAACACAGGUCUCUGCUAAAGCGAAAGCUGAUGUAUAGGGGCUGACGCCUGCCCGGUGCUGGAAGGUUAAGGGGAACACUUAGCGCAAGCGAAGGUGUGAACUUAAGCCCCAGUAAACGGCGGCCGUAACUAUAACGGUCCUAAGGUAGCGAAAUUCCUUGUC